UACAGAGGUCUCAAGCGUUGUUCGGAUUCAUUGGGCGUAAAGGGUGCGUAGGUGGCGCUGUAAGUCAGGUGUGAAAUUUCGGAGCUUAACUCCGAAACUGCAUUCGAUACUGCCGUGCUUGAGGACUGGAGAGGAGACUGGAAUUUACGGUGUAGCGGUGAAAUGCGUAGAUAUCGUAAGGAAGACCAGUGGCGAAGGCGGGUCUCUGGACAGUUCCUGACGCUGAGGCACGAAGGUCAGGGGAGCAAACGGG
rnacentral:rRNA from 1 species